UGUCCUUACUCUAAUACUAUAAUCUGAAAGUUACCACUCUCAGCAUCAUGCUCCAAAAUACUGACUUUUGCUAAAUUCCUAAAUAAAGAGGAUUCUAUCUACCGAAUUAAAUAUGUCCUCAGUGUUUUCCAUGCAUCAGGUUUUAAGCACUGGCAUAUGUCUUAAGGUAAGAAUUGUCUAUGUCUGCCUUCUCACUUCAUUAAAAUACCUUCCCUCUUAAGGGAAGUUUUUGAGCAACAUUCUCUGUUACCAACCAAAUUAAAAUCUCUCUGGAAGCCAUCCUCUGGCAAGUACAGUCUUCCUUCUACAAAAUACUUUUCCUCGUGGUAGAAUCAUAAGCAUUAGUCUCUGAGGAUAUGUACACCAACCCCUUCAUCUGACUGAUGAGGAAAAAUCCUUCCUGCUUUGUCCUUUUUUAAUGACAGCAUGCAGAUUUCAACGCAUCUCUCCCUCUCUCAUUUAUUCUCCAUUAUCAUUUGUCUUUCAACCAAGGUCAAAGAUCUCCAGGUGGUGGUGGUGGUUUAGUCUCUGAGUCGUGUCUGACUCUCGUGACCCCAUGGACUGUAGCCAGCCAGUCUUCUCUGUCUGUGAGAUUUUCCCGGCAAGAAAACUGGAGUGGGUUGCCGUCUCCUUCUCCAGAGGAUCUUUCUGACCCAGGGAUCGAACCUGCGUCUCCUGCACUGUAGAGGCUUUCCUGCGUUUCAGGCAGAUGUUUUACUGCUGAGCCACCAGGGACGCCCCUAAGGUCUCCUACAUCUAAUAACCUAAGAUAAAAACUAUGGAGUUUCUUUCUCCCAGAGAGCUUUUCCUGUAUUCCACUCCCCGAAUCAGGUUGCUGAUGACAUUGGAAUUCCUUCUCUUAGCGUCUAGGAGGUUUUCUGGUCGGGAUGUAGACUUUUGCUAUGAGUGGUUGUUUCGGUCUUCAGCUUCCGGCACCUGGUGCUAGCGCGCUUCUGCCACGCCUAGACGCACUUGGCUCCAGAACUUUUCUGGAUCCUGUGGUUGAGUCGAUGGCGUUCCUACCGUGCAGUGGGCACCGUCACAAUCACUUUCCACCCAACACACACACACUUGGUCCUCACAACGUGGAAUCGUGAAGCAGAAUUACUGCUCCCAUUUUAAAGGGGAAG
rnacentral:lncRNA from 1 species